rnacentral:snoRNA from 1 species
GUGAAAAUGUUGAAAAGAAAAAACUGAAUUAUGUGGCAUGAUUUUCACAUUAACCGCAACAAAUCCUACUCCAAUAGGUCCUACUGAAUGU